AUUCUUCUUCUCCACAUAUUAAUUUUUCUCAUCUUUACCUGAAAUCCGAGCAACAAUAUCUGCUUCUUCUCACUUUAAUCACCAUUUCCUUCAUUAGUUUCCAAUAUUUUUGCUCAUAUUUCACUUUUUGUACAAAAGAGGAAAUGAGAUAUAGUAGUCGGAUUUUUUUCCUUCAAAAUUCGAAUUUUCUCUUAACAAAGGGAAAGAUGGAGUGAGGAAGAGCACGAGAGGGGUUCCUCGAGGCCUUGAAACUUGGUGGAGGAAAAUUGAAGAGCAGCAUGUGGUUGAUUGUAGAAAAGGUUUUGCGCCAUACAAAACACAUUCACGACAAUCUGAGAGCUGCAUUUGCUUCAUACCUCAUUAACAUUUUUUUGCUCUCUUUCUGAAUUGAAGGUUUUAAUAUAUUGUCCACGUACUUGAUUUCCUAGCCAAUCUUUUAUUUUUGGGUUGUAAUAUUUUCAAUCUUUCAUGUUUUCGAACCACAACUGUCUAUCCUAAUGGACACCUGUGUUUUCUUGUGUUGUA